rnacentral:rRNA from 1 species
AUUGAACGCUGGCGGCAUGCCUUACACAUGCAAGUCGAACGGCAGCACGGGAGCAAUCCUGGUGGCGAGUGGCGAACGGGUGAGUAAUAUAUCGGAACGUGCCCAGUCGUGGGGAUAACGUAGCGAAAGCUACGCUAAUACCGCAUACGAUCUAUGGAUGAAAGCGGGGGAUCGCAAGACCUCGCGCGAUUGGAGCGGCCGAUAUCAAAUUAGGUAGUUGGUGAGGUAAAGGCUCACCAAGCCGACGAUCUGUAGCUGGUCUGAGAGGACGACCAGCCACACUGGGACUGAGACACGGCCCAGACUCCUACGGGAGGCAGCAGUGGGGAAUUUUGGACAAUGGGCGCAAGCCUGAUCCAGCAAUGCCGCGUGCAGGAUGAAGGCCUUCGGUUGUAACU